AUGGCCGAUCCCUCCCACUCCUCCCCCACCGCCGGGGACGCCAUCCUUCCGCCGCAGGCCUCCGACGCGCCGGAGGCGCCCCUCCCCGCCGCGGCCGCCGAUCUGGACAAGGAGUUCGGGUUCCAGCGCGAGGAGCUCCACACGGAGAAGCUCGCCGGGACGGUGGGCUUCCACGAGCGCCACGUGUUCCUCUGCUACAAGGGCCCCGAGGAGUGGCCGUCCCACCUCGAGGCCACCGAGUCCGACCGCCUCCCCCGCCUCCUCGCCGCCGCCAUCAAGGCCCGCAAGCCCGACCUGAAGAAGAGCACCAAACUGACCAUUUGUGAAGGAGAAGACGGCACUGAGUCAUCUCUUGGAGACGUGUUGAUCUUUCCUGAUAUGAUCCGAUACAGAGGGCUGACCCACUUUGAUGUUGACAACUUUGUUGAAGAAGUACUCGUGAAAGAUACUGAAUGGCUUCCUGGAUCUCCUGAGGCUAUCAGAGGUUCCUAUGUUUUUGUCUGCUGCCAUGGAAGCAGGGAUAAAAGGUGUGGUGUUUGCGGUCCUGCUUUGAUUACAAGGUUCAAGGAAGAGAUUGAAGCAGAAGGUCUUGAUGGUCACGUGGCUGUUAGUGCAUGCUCACAUGUGGGAGGUCAUAAGUAUGCAGGAAAUGUCAUCAUAUUCAGUCCAGAUGCUAAGGGAGAAGUGACUGGUAAUUGGUAUGGUUAUGUUGCCCCUGAUGAUGUGCCUGAGUUACUACACAAACAAAUUGGGCAAAGAGGAGCGAUUGUGAACCGUCUAUGGAGGGGUCAGUUGGGUAUGUCUGAAGAGCAGCAGAAGCAAGCUCUGGAGCUUAGGCACAUGACGAAUGGCGUGGCUGGGCAAGAAUCAAGCGCCAAAGAAUCCCCUGAAGCAAAUGGAACUGACGGGGCACCUGCAGGUGGAUGCUGCCAGGGCAAUGGAGGAGCACUUAGCUGCUGCCAAAGUGAUCUGCCAGAAGGAAAACAGGAUAAGAGCAUUCCAGCUGAGCAGAACCGCAGGAUCUCCAAGACAGAGAGUGUCAAAGAAAGUGUUGCCGCCAGCAAGGGUCGCAUGAGGAUUUGCCGGAUGCCCACCUGGUUCGAGACCUGGGAUAGGUCUGACACCUACACCACGCUUGCUGUUGUUGCAGCUGCUGCAACGGUGUUCGUCGCUUUCAGGGCCUACAAGACCAUGAACUGA
rnacentral:rRNA from 1 species